rnacentral:rRNA from 1 species
UACGUAGGGGGCAAGCGUUAUCCGGAUUUACUGGGUGUAAAGGGAGUGUAGACGGCAUGGCAAGCCAGAUGUGAAAGCCCGGGGCUCAACCCCGGGACUGCAUUUGGAACUGUCAGGCUAGAGUGUCGGAGAGGAAAGCGGAAUUCCUAGUGUAGCGGUGAAAUGCGUAGAUAUUAGGAGGAACACCAGUGGCGAAGGCGGCUUUCUGGACGAUGACUGACGUUGAGGCUCGAAAGCGUGGGGAGCAAACAGG